UACGUAGGGGGCAAGCGUUGUCCGGAUUUACUGGGCGUAAAGAGCGUGUAGGCGGCCACACAGGUCCGUUGUGAAAACUGGAGGCUCAACCUCCAGCUGUCGACGGAAACCGUAUGGCUAGAGUCCGGAAGAGGAGAGUGGAAUUCCUGGUGUAGCGGUGAAAUGCGCAGAUAUCAGGAAGAACACCAAUGGCGAAGGCAGCUCUCUGGGACGGUACUGACGCUGAGACGCGAAAGCGUGGGGAGCGAACAGG
rnacentral:rRNA from 1 species